rnacentral:rRNA from 1 species
GACGAACGCUGGCGGCGUGCUUAACACAUGCAAGUCGAACGGAAAGGCCCUGCUUUUGUGGGGUGCUCGAGUGGCGAACGGGUGAGUAACACGUGAGUAACCUGCCCUUGACUUUGGGAUAACUUCAGGAAACUGGGGCUAAUACCGGAUAGGAGCUCCUGCUGCAUGGUGGGGGUUGGAAAGUUUCGGCGGUUGGGGAUGGACUCGCGGCUUAUCAGCUUGUUGGUGGGGUAGUGGCUUACCAAGGCUUUGACGGGUAGCCGGCCUGAGAGGGUGACCGGCCACAUGGGGACUGAGAGACGGCGCAGACUCCUACGGGAGGCAGCAGUGGGGAAUAUGGCACAAUGGGCGGAAGCCUGAUGCAGAAACGCCGCGUGCGGGAUGACGGCCUUCGGGUUGUAAACCGCUUUCGCCGGUGACGAAGAGUGAGUGACGGUAAUGGGUAAAGAAGCACCGGCUAACUACGUG